AACGAGCGCAACCCUUACCCUUAUUUGCCAGCGAUUCGGUCGGGAACUAUAAGGGGACUGCCGGUGAUAAACCGGAGGAAGGUGAGGACGACGUCAAGUCAUCAUGGCCCUUACGAGUAGGGCUACACACGUGCUACAAUGGGGAAUACAGACGGACGCUAAGCCGCGAGGUGGUGCUAAUCCUAGAAAGUUUCUCGUAGUCCGGAUUGGAGUCUGCAACUCGACUCCAUGAAGUCGGAAUCGCUAGUAAUCGCGGAUCAGCAUGCCGCGGUGAAUACGUUCUCGGGUCUUGUACACACCGCCCGUCACACCAUGGAGGUGGAUUGCACCAGAAGUAGAUAGUCUAACCUUCGGGAGGGCGUUUACCACGGUGUGCUUCAUGACUGGGGUGAAGUCGUAACAGGUAGCCGG
rnacentral:rRNA from 1 species